rnacentral:rRNA from 1 species
GAUGAACGCUGGCGGCGUGCCUAAUACAUGCAAGUCGAGCGAACAGAUAAGGAGCUUGCUCCUUUGACGUUAGCGGCGGACGGGUGAGUAACACGUGGGUAACCUACCUAUAAGACUGGGAUAACUUCGGGAAACCGGAGCUAAUACCGGAUAACAUUUGGAACCGCAUGGUUCUAAAGUGAAAGAUGGUUUUGCUAUCACUUAUAGAUGGACCCGCGCCGUAUUAGCUAGUUGGUAAGGUAACGGCUUACCAAGGCAACGAUACGUAGCCGACCUGAGAGGGUGAUCGGCCACACUGGAACUGAGACACGGUCCAGACUCCUACGGGAGGCAGCAGUAGGGAAUCUUCCGCAAUGGGCGAAAGCCUGACGGAGCAACGCCGCGUGAGUGAUGAAGGGUUUCGGCUCGUAAAACUCUGUUAUUAGGGAAGAACAAACGUGUAAGUAACUGUGCACGUCUUGACGGUACCUAAUCAGAAAGCCACGGCUAACUACGUGCCAGCAGCCGCGGUAAUACGUAGGUGGCAAGCGUUAUCCGGAAUUAUUGGGCGUAAAGCGCGCGUAGGCGGUUUCUUAAGUCUGAUGUGAAAGCCCACGGCUCAACCGUGGAGGGUCAUUGGAAACUGGGAAACUUGAGUGCAGAAGAGGAAAGUGGAAUUCCAUGUGUAGCGGUGAAAUGUGCAGAGAUAUGAAGGAACACCAGUGGCGAAGGCGACUUUCUGGUCUGUAACUGACGCUGAUGUGCGAAAGCGUGGGGAUCAAACAGGAUUAGAUACCCUGGUAGUCCACGCCGUAAACGAUGAGUGCUAAGUGUUAGGGGGUUUCCGCCCCUUAGUGCUGCAGCUAACGCAUUAAGCACUCCGCCUGGGGAGUACGACCGCAAGGUUGAAACUCAAAGGAAUUGACGGGGACCCGCACAAGCGGUGGAGCAUGUGAUUUAAUUCGAAGCAACGCGAAGAACCUUACCAAAUCUUGACAUCCUUUGAAAACUCUAGAGAUAGAGCCUUCCCCUUCGGGGGACAAAGUGACAGGUGGUGCAUGGUUGUCGUCAGCUCGUGUCGUGAGAUGUUGGGUUAAGUCCCGCAACGAGCGCAACCCUUAAGCUUAGUUGCCAUCAUUAAGUUGGGCACUCUAGGUUGACUGCCGGUGACAAACCGGAGGAAGGUGGGGAUGACGUCAAAUCAUCAUGCCCCUUAUGAUUUGGGCUACACACGUGCUACAAUGGACAAUACAAAGGGCAGCUAAACCGCGAGGUCAUGCAAAUCCCAUAAAGUUGUUCUCAGUUCGGAUUGUAGUCUGCAACUCGACUACAUGAAGCUGGAAUCGCUAGUAAUCGUAGAUCAGCAUGCUACGGUGAAUACGUUCCCGGGUCU